GCAGAGUACAUGCAUGUGCAAGACAGCAAGCAGCAGCUAUCAGUGCUGCUGCUUGAAAAAAGGGAGAGAGGAGAGGAAGGUGCAUGUGGGCAGCAACACUUGGUGCUCUACCUCGGGUGUGCAGUGGUCUUGAGCUACCACCGCUGUCAGAGUUACAUUUCACCAUUUCAUUGUUAUGAAGCCAUUUUACACAUGGCAAAAUUGUAACUUGGAUAUACCUUCCGUAUAGAAAUUUAGUAAUGUGUGAAAUUGUCUUCAUAUGCUUGGCUAGUUUCUCUCUAUUCCAUACCACAAGGCUGAAAGAUGUGAGUAGGGAGGAAUAUUGGAACAAAUCUCACAAAUAAACCUCACACAUAAAGAGCUGAGAGUGGAGAAGCAUGCUACCAUGAAGCUUCAUGUCAUCAGCUCCCAUUCACAUAGCCGCUACACAAAAUCUUGCUGUGAACCCAGUGAUUCCCUUAUACCGAUCUGACAAAAAAUAGUCAACAUAUAGUAAUACUCAUCAGAAUGACCUGGAUAUUUUCUAAGCCAGAAGCUUCCUGGCCUUGAAAGCUGAGAGCCGUGGGACAGUCUGCCUCCAGAUGGAUCAUUUGCUUAAGUUGACCGUAAAAUUGUGUCUGCUGUGACGCCGUCAUUGUGGCGCUGGCCUAGCCCAUUCCAGCUGCUUGGCACAAGGUGGAGAGGGCAUAUAAGAUGCCAAAUCCAGAUUCCCUAGAGAGUAGCCAUGUUCUGCAUGUCUCUUUUGCAGCCUGUGGCAUGAAUACCCACUCUGAGGAGAACAACUGGUGAUACUCAAGCUGAGAAGGAGCCCCCUGCUGCUUUGACUUGAUGCUGAUUGGAGAAUUCCCUCAUUCCUAUAGCAUACAGGGUGUUGUUCUGGAAAUAAAUGAGUAAAUGGUCCUGGAAAGAAGCAGGAAGCCUACCAGCUGGUCCCCAGUCAUGGCUCUAGCCCCAGCCAGUCAGCAGGCAACCCAGGUCUCUUCCUAGAAACUGUUUCUGCCACUUGGGUUGAAGAUUAAAAGGUUGUUAGGAUGCAUUGAGGUGGUUUAGGCCAAGUAAAAGCCUUGAUCUGUACCAAUUUGCUGUUGUAAAAAAAAAAGAGAGAGAGAGAGAGAGAGAGUAUGAAAACUUCUUAAAGACUGGUUUGAUGUGUGGUGGUGAAGUUUAUCCUCUUCUGGAUGGGACUGCUUUUCUCUAAAGCAGUGAUCUCCAUUGCAAGGCCUGAGAGCUGGUAACAGCUCACAUCAGUCCUAAAAGUGGCUCUCGGACUCUAACUGUGAAGCCAAAUACUCCACCCAGCACCUUGUAGAGAUGAUUGUGUCAGGGUUCUGUUUCUUUAAAAGCCCACCCUCUCUCUGGCACUGGGGAAAGUGUAGCACUGUGUGGAAGUCAGCAUGGUGGGAAAUAGCUCUUACAUUGGAAGUUAUUUUUUGCCAUGUGGCCCCCAUUUCAAAAAUAGCGAGGAGCACUGCUCUAACAGAUCAGGUUUACAGUUUUUGGUGCUUCUAGAUCCAGCUUUUUCAUUGGAGACCCACAUGACAUUUGUGGCACAUAGCACCUUCCAGCUGGUUUGCCAGUUGUUGUCCCUUCUGGACAGGCAUUCUUGGCCAAUGCUAUCCAUGCCCUAGUAACCUCCAGAUUAGAUGAUUAUAGUGCAUUAUAUGUGGGACUAUCUUUGAAGACUUUGGAAACUAUCGCUUCCUGCUAACUCGGAUCAGGUACUGGGAAUAUCUGACAAAUGCUUACAUAGCUACAUUAGCUCCUGAUCAUUUUCUGGGCACAAUUCAAAAACCUGCUCCUCGUCUUAAGCCCUUCAUGGUUUGGGGGCUGGAUACCUGUGCGGUGACCUCUUCCAACAUGAGUACAUUGAGCCGAUCUUCUAAGAGAGGCCCUUCUCCUGACCUUGUUGCCAUCUUUAGGGGGAAAGCCUUAUCCAUGUGGAUGCCCUAUUUGUGGACUGCUCUCCCCAGGGAAGCUCACAGGGCACUUUCCAAACUAGACACUGCAACGUACUCACAGUGUGUCUGCUAAGUGUCUGUCCAUAUUGCCUGUGUCUCUACACUGGUGUCGCUGUGUUGUCAGAAGGGUGCCGUUCAUAUUUCCCAUGCCUGGAUUCGAAUUAUAAUGAUGCGAUUUUGCCCUACAGUGUUGUAAAUUGGUUGCAGGAAAGUAGCUGUAUUUUUCUGUAGUAGGGAGGCUUGAUACGGACUCUAUGCGCUGCAGUGUGUGGUAGUAUGGACAGUUUUUUCUAUUUCUGUUAAAAAUAGAACUUUUUCUAUUUUCUUAA